rnacentral:tRNA from 1 species
UCCCAAGUGGUCUAGUGAGUAAGACUCUGCACUCCCAGGGCAGGGGACAUGGGUUCAACUCCCGGUCAGGGAA